ACGUAGGUGGCAAGCGUUGUCCGGAUUUAUUGGGUUUAAAGGGUGCGUAGGCGGCCCUGUAAGUCAGUGCUGAAAUAUCCCAGCUUAACUGGGAGGGUGGCAUUGAUACUGCGGGGCUAGAGUACAGAUGAGGUAGGCGGAAUUGACGGUGUAGCGGUGAAAUGCUUAGAUAUCGUCAAGAACACCUAUAGCGAAGGCAGCUUACUAGGCUGUAACUGACGCUGAGGCACGAAAGUGUGGGGAUCAAACAGGA
rnacentral:rRNA from 1 species